rnacentral:rRNA from 1 species
GACAGAGGAGCCAAGCGUUGUCCGGAUUGACUGGGCGUAAAGCGCACGCAGGCGGCCGUGCACGUGGGGUGUGAAAGCGCUCGGCUUAACUGAGCGAUGCCACCUCAUACGGCAGGGCUCGAGCCCGUGAGAGGUCCACGGAAUUGCCGGUGUUGUGGUGAAAUGCGUAGAGAUCGGCAGGAACACCCAGGGGGAAACCAGUGGACUGGCACGGUGCUGACGCUCAGGUGCGAAAGCGUGGGGAGCGAACCGG